GAAAACUCAACCAAGUGUUUGGCAGUGCGACAGUCACCCACAUAGUGUUCCUUUGCACCACAUCGAAAACAAACAUAUGUUCUAACCGCAUCACUUUUUUCAUCUUUUCCUUGUUCCUUUUGACGGUAUCCUUUCUUUGUUGAAUGAUUAACACCAAAAAUAUGAUUUCUUUCCUGACAAUAAUCACGACCACGAUCACGAUCACGUUCAUGAUCGAAAUCAGGUCCCCAAUUUUUUCCAUGCCUAACAUGGUGGGCGUACACCUCAUCACUUCUGGAAAUAGUGUUGAUUUAAUAGGUGUAUUUUCAUGAUUUUUUAUUUAUAAUUUAUUAUUUUGUUCAGCCACAAGAAGAUGAGAACUCAG
rnacentral:lncRNA from 1 species